GCCCUCUACGUGCGAGUGGGGUUUUGAGGAGGAAGAAAUGGGGGAAGAAGAGGAGAUCACGUGGCUCCGUGAUUGGGCGGGGACGGAAGCGAUGAGGGCCGGACGGUCAUCAUCUUCGGCAUCGAUCCAAUUAUCCCCUGAGGCGCGUCUUUCUAGCUUCAUCGACGCACGAUUCACACGCCAUGAGUAUGCCCAACACUGCCGACUGCCAUACCAGACGUGACCCCAACUGCAUCCCAGGGGGAUGGUGAUGAUGCUAAAAUUGUAAAACUGCCCUGGUACCGAGGAAAACUUGAAACAUAUCUUUGAAAAAACUGGGAAUUGUACUGUUAAGAUUCCUACAGGGAAAGGAUGUGACAGUCCACUAUGAAUCUAGGAGGAACUAUUGGCGAGUAAGGGUAAAAUCAGUUUCCAGAUCUGUUGGUGAAAAGGACUGAUAAAUUCUUGAUAAGAAGAUUAACGACAACAAUGCUUCGCCAAAUCAGCGAUCGAUCUAGGCGGGAAGCUUAAGAACAAAGUGCAGUUUCAAUGGUUUUUAAGCAAAAGUGCAAUGUACUAAGUUCAAAACCUUUUUGUAAAUUAUUCAGAAACUAAAUGUAAUGGUUCGUUCUCUUAACACAGUUCAACUUGUAAUAUUUAG